rnacentral:sRNA from 1 species
AAAAAGAAGAGAAAAAU